rnacentral:rRNA from 1 species
AAAUUGAAGAGUUUGAUCAUGGCUCAGAUUGAACGCUGGCGGCAGGCCUAACACAUGCAAGUCGAACGGUAACAGGAAGCAGCUUGCUGCUUCGCUGACGAGUGGCGGACGGGUGAGUAAUGUCUGGGAAACUGCCUGAUGGAGGGGGAUAACUACUGGAAACGGUGGCUAAUACCGCAUAACGUCCCAAGACCAAAGAGGGGGACCUUCGGGCCUCUUGCCAUCAGAUGUGCCCAGAUGGGAUUAGCUUGUUGGUGAGGUAACGGCUCACCAAGGCGACGAUCCCUAGCUGGUCUGAGAGGAUGACCAGCCACACUGGAACUGAGACACGGUCCAGACUCCUACGGGAGGCAGCAGUGGGGAAUAUUGCACAAUGGGCGCAAGCCUGAUGCAGCCAUGCCGCGUGUAUGAAGAAGGCCUUCGGGUUGUAAAGUACUUUCAGCGGGGAGGAAGGUGUUG